GUUUUUGUCCCAAACUUUGGGACGAAUGCAGUUUUCGUCUCAAACUUUGGGAUGAACUCUCUUUUCGCCCCAAAUUUUGGGACUUCCUAAUAACCCCACUACCCGAUCCCUAAUUCACUCUCCCCUCGAAGCCUCCUCGAUCGUGCGUUCUUCUUCUCUUCGAUCUUCCCUCCCUGACAAAGUCGGCGAAGGAGACGGCGGCAAAGGCGACGAAGCGUCUCAUUUUCCUGUGAGCUUAGUGUGUUUGGAGAUACUCUUUUUUCGUCACCUGUUUUAGGAAAAGAUGAUUUGAUGGGGAAGAUAGUUUGUGGAAAAAGAAGAUGAGUUGAUGAAUGUAUUGUUUAUUUUGAAAAAAAUUAUAUAACUUUAGGAGGGGUAGGACCUGUAUUACUUUUUGGAAUAUUGGACUUAUAUAAGUUCUUAGAGUAUUGAAGAAGAAAGUUCUUGUAUAACUUGUUGAGAACUUUAGAAUUGUAUUAUUGUAAAAUUGAUUUCAAAUAUUAAUAGAUGUGUAUAUAUGUUAAAUAGGAUGUGAUAAUGUUAAUCAGGAUGUGGUAUUUAA